rnacentral:rRNA from 1 species
AAUAGAUACCCAGGUAGUCCACGCCGUAAACGUUGGGCGCUAGGUGUGGGGUCCGUUCCACGGGUUCCGUGCCGCAGCUAACGCAUUAAGCGCCCCGCCUGGGGAGUACGGCCGCAAGGCUAAAACUCAAAGGAAUUGACGGGGGGCCCGCACAAGCGGCGGAGCAUGCGGAUUAAUUCGAUGCAACGCGAAGAACCUUACCAAGGCUUGACAUGGGCGGUAAUCCGGUAGAGAUGUCGGGUCCGUAAGGGCCGUUCACAGGUGGUGCAUGGUUGUCGUCAGCUCGUGUCGUGAGAUGUUGGGUUAAGUCCCGCAACGAGCGCAACCCUUGUUCCAUGUUGCCAGCACUUCGGGUGGGGACUCAUGGGAGACUGCCGGGGUCAACUCGGAGGAAAGUGGGGAUGACGUCAAAUCAUCAUGCCCCUUAUGUCUUGGGCUUCACGCAUGCUACAAUGGCCGGUACAAAGGGCUGCAAUACCGUAAGGUGGAGCGAAUCCCAAAAAGCCGGUCUCAGUUCGGAUUGAGGUCUGCAACUCGACCUCA